CUACGGGACGCAGCAGUGGGGAAUAUUGCACAAUGGGGGAAACCCUGAUGCAGCAACGCCGCGUGGAGGAUGACGCAUUUCGGUGUGUAAACUCCUUUUAUAUCCCAAGAUAAUGACGGUAGGAUAUGAAUAAGCACCGGCUAACUCCGUGCCAGCAGCCGCGGUAAUACGGAGGGUGCAAGCGUUACUCGGAAUCACUGGGCGUAAAGGGCGCGUAGGCGGGUUGUCAAGUCUUGAGUGAAAUCCAACGGCUCAACCGUUGAACUGCUUGAGAAACUGGCAGCCUAGAGUGAGGGAGAGGUAGAUGGAAUUGGUGGUGUAGGGGUAAAAUCCGUAGAGAUCACCAGGAAUACCCAUUGCGAAGGCGAUCUGCUGGAACUCUACUGACGCUGAGGCGCGAAAGCGUGGGGAGCAAACAGGGUUAGAUACCCCUGUAGUC
rnacentral:rRNA from 1 species